AUGGGCACGCGAUAUCCGAGGAGUCCUUGGCCUCCACGAGAUCGACCAGUACCUGCGUCUCUGGCAGGCCGUACAGACACCACCCUAUCGAACGAGCCAGACCGGCUUUGCUGGAAGUGGACUGCAAACGGAACCUACUCCGGACAGUCCUGCUGCUCAGCUACCUUCCAUGGCUCGACGCUUUGCUGUUCCUGGAAGCUUGUCUGGAAGAGCUGGGCGCCACUGCAGGUGAGAUUUUUCCAUUGGCUUGCCAACCAGGACUGCUGCUGUACUGCCGAUAGACUCGCUCGCCGUGGACUGCAGCACCACCCCUGCUGCCUCCUGUGCGACCAGGCACCAGAGACGAUCCAGCACCUUGUGCUGGCCUGCCCUUUUGCCCGACAAGCCUGGCACGUGACCUUGGCAUGGCUUCAUAUUCCAGCCCCGGCACCUGAGCACGACCCCUCUGUUAUGGACUGGUGGCUGCAUGCGAAGGACACCACACCACCGACUCAGCGAAAGGCCCUCCAAUCCGUUGCACUACUUGUGCCAUGGAUGAUCUGGAAGCACAUGAAUGAAUUCGUCUUCGACAAUGUGACGCCUUCGACCACUAGGCUUCUGGACAAGAUCAAGGACAAGAUCCGAUGGUGGGCAAAGGCUGGGACUCAAGGUCUUAAGAGUUGUCCUGCCCCAAUCCUGGCAUGUCCACUGAUUUGUAUGAUAGUCCUGUAA
rnacentral:rRNA from 1 species